CACUAGCUCCCUCCCUCCAAUAUUGGAGGAACAAGAUAUCAAAGACGAUGUUUUUAGAGUGGACUAUGGUCUUAUGUGAUAAAGAAGGUCAAGGAGAAAAAUUAUUUGAUGUAUGGGAACCAUAUGUGUGGAACAUGCCUGUUUUACUCUUGUGUAUGAUAUACUUAAAAACAGUUUUAAAAAAUAUAUAUAUAUAUACCGUGCUAAUGACCAUCAAUUUAAUAUGUAGGUUGGAACACAAUCAUUAACUGAAGCAAAAACAGCUAUGUAGGAGGAAUUAAACUGGAUGAUGAACAGCCAAACUCACUAAAAAGGAGAGUUUGCUUAAGACAGUUUAAUCCC